rnacentral:rRNA from 1 species
GACGAACGCUGGCGGCGUGCCUAAUACAUGCAAGUAGAACGCACAGUUUAUACCGUAGCUUGCUACACCAUAGACUGUGAGUUGCGAACGGGUGAGUAACGCGUAGGUAACCUGCCUGGUAGCGGGGGAUAACUAUUGGAAACGGUAGCUAAUACCGCAUAAUAUUAAUUAUUGCAUGAUAAUUAAUUGAAAGGUGCAAUUGCACCACUACCAGAUGGACCUGCGUUGUAUUAGCUAGUAGGUGAGGUAACGGCUCACCUAGGCGACGAUACAUAGCCGACCUGAGAGGGUGAUCGGCCACACUGGGACUGAGACACGGCCCAGACUCCUACGGGAGGCAGCAGUAGGGAAUCUUCGGCAAUGGACGAAAGUCUGACCGAGCAACGCCGCGUGAGUGAAGAAGGUUUUCGGAUCGUAAAGCUCUGUUGUAAGAGAAGAACGGGUGUGAGAGUGGAAAGUUCACACUGUGACGGUAUCUUACCAGAAAGGGACGGCUAACUACGUG